rnacentral:rRNA from 1 species
AGUGGCGCCGGGACAAGAUCGUGUCCCGCCGCGCCGCGGGUAUACCCGCGGCUCCGAGGGGGGAACAACUUUAAUGGCUAAGAGCGUCCGUAGCCUUGAAUAUAAGUCUCUUGGGCAAUUCUCACCGCUUAAACAGUGAGCAGCCUAAGAGAUCCCGGGAAUUUAGGGACCGGGAGACGUCAGGAUGUACUUCAGCGGUAGAAGCGAAGUUCUGUAAUCCUCGAGGGACCCCCUGAUGGCGAAGGCAUCCUACCAGAACUGCUUCCACAGUGAUGCAACGAAAGGCUUGGGGGCGCGAACGGGAUUAGAUACCCCCGGUAGUCCCAGCCGUAAACUAUGCGCCUUAGGGGGGGCGGGGUAACUACGAGUUACCGGGGAAGCAAAAAGUGAAAACGUGAAACGUGCCGCCUGGAAGGGUUUUGUUUCGGAAAAGCAACUUAAAGGAAUUGGCGGAGGAGCACCACAACGGGUGGAGCCUGCGGUUUAAUUGGAAUCAGAAAACGGGCAGCUCACCGGAUAGGACAGCGGAGUGAUAGCCGGGCUGAAGACCUUGCUUGACCAGCUGAGAGGAGGUGCAUGGCCGUCGUCAGUUCGUACUGUGAAGCAUCAUCAGAAUCAGGCACCGAGCCAGACCCAUAAUCGGAUCCCGGGCCCGUCGAUGAGAGCCGCAGCAUGCUGGACUUGAACGAGUCGAUAGAGCUGCGAG